AACGAACGCUGGCGGCAGGCUUAACACAUGCAAGUCGAACGCAUCCUUCGGGGUGAGUGGCAGACGGGUGAGUAACGCGUGGGAACGUGCCCUUCAGUUCGGGAUAACCCAGGGAAACUUGGGCUAAUACCGGAUACGUGCGAGAGCAGAAAGAUUUAUCGCUGAAGGAUCGGCCCGCGUCUGAUUAGCUAGUUGGUGGGGUAAUGGCCCACCAAGGCGACGAUCAGUGGCUGGUCUGAGAGGAUGAUCAGCCACAUUGGGACUGAGACACGGCCCAAAAUCCUACGGGGGGCAGCAGUGGGGAAUAUUGGACAAUGGGCGCAAGCCUGAUCCAGCCAUGCCGCGUGAGUGAUGAAGGCCUUAGGGUUGUAAAGCUCUUUCGUCCGGGACGAUAAUGACGGUACCGGAAGAAGAAGCCCCGGCUAACUUCGUGCCAGCAGCCGCCGCAG
rnacentral:rRNA from 1 species